CUCAUUCUUACUUUUUUAAUCUGCUUGGAACAGCUGUUGGUGGCACUUGUUAGUGCUUACAGAUUUGACGGGCCUGGUGUAAAUGAAGAUGUUGCAAAAUCAGAAGCUCAAAUCCUUUACGAAGCAAUCAACAAUGGCGAAAAAAACAAACUUCUCGACCACGAAGAUGCCAUCAUGAUCCUGGCUACCAGGAGCAAGCAACAUCUUCAAGCACUGUAUCAACACUACAACCAAAGCUAUGACAAGACCCUUGCUCAGGUAUACAACUUCGAUCUAUUCAAGAGCCCCAGGUAAUUAUUUAUUUGAGUAAACAUAAUAAUUAUUUAUUUGACUCUCUUAUUCUUCUUUUUUUUUUUUUUUGUUUGUUUAGGAUCUCGAAGGUGAGGGAAUUUUAAAAGAUACCGUAGAAUGCCUAUGUACCCCUCAAACAUAUUUCACCAGGGUAAGGUCUAAACCAAAGGCGUAUUUAGAUGUAAAUUAAAAGUUUACUACAUAAACUUAUCCAAGGGGAAAAAUUACUGAUUCCUAAAGAUUACUGUAUGAAGCAACUGAGUUACGAGUUAUGAGUUAGCUAACCUCUUCACUUUUUGUUCAGGUAUUGGAAGCAGCUGUGAAGGAGGACGCAGAUGAGGAAUCAAAAAGAGCACUGACUCGAGUGAUUGUUACUCAAAAGGAGCAGCUGGUGAAGGAAGGCUUUGUUCCUAAUAAAAUUCAAGACAUUCUUUUAGGGCUUUACAAGGAUUUCAUGCUUGCCUCCAUUGCAAGUGGCGAUAUCAAAUAAACACGAAACCCCACUCUUAAAUCAUUCAAUAAAAUUAUGAAUUACCUUGGAUUCCCCUAUGAAUUGAUAUCGUCCGAUAGUUGUUGUUGAUUACGACUCAAGUGCCUUGUGCUUGUAUAAAGGCUGGAUUUUCAAGUAUUGUUUAUCUCAUUUCCUUCACCAGAAACUUAAGCAGUCCGGAAG
rnacentral:lncRNA from 1 species